rnacentral:sRNA from 1 species
CUUCUAGCUUUAGUGUUGAAUGAUUCUUGUGCUUCUGUUUGUGAUUUUGCUAAGGUGUUGACUUAUCUGCACAAUUUGUUUAAGACAUUUUAUUUUCUCUGUUGUCACAUAUUGCUAAUCACUUUCAAAAGAAUCUGUUGUAUUAAGGAAGUUCAGAUUCACUCCCUACAUAUUUUUUGAGCUACUCAUGACUUAAAACCUUUUUUAAACUUUAUAGAAGUUUUCUAGUCAGAUAAUUUAAUAUAUAUGUAAUUAUAAACAAAAGUGUUGUCUUCAUGCUAGUUUAAACUAAUUUUUAAAAAAUUAUUUCUAGAUAAUCCACAAGAUGGGAUUAUGGUGCAACUAGUUGUUAAUUUGUUGCAGUUAUCCAAGAUGGCAAUAAACCACACUGGUGAAAAAGAAGUUCUAGAGGCUGUUGGAAGCUGCUUGGGAGAAGUGGGUCCUAUAGAUUUCUCUACCAUAGCUAUACAACAUAGUAAAGAUGCAUCUUAUACCAAGGCCCUUAAGUUAUUUGAAGAUAAAGAACUUCAGUGGACCUUCAUAAUGCUGACCUACCUGAAUAACACACUGGUAGAAGAUUGUGUCAAAGUUCGAUCAGCAGCUGUUACCUGUUUGAAAAACAUUUUAGCCACAAAGACUGGACAUAGUUUCUGGGAGAUUUAUAAGAUGACAACAGAUCCAAUGCUGGCCUAUCUACAGCCUUUUAGAACAUCAAGAAAAAAGUUUUUAGAAGUACCCAGAUUCGACAAAGAAAACCCUUUUGAAGGCCUGGAUGAUACAAAUCUGUGGAUUCCUCUAAGUGAAAAUCAUGACAUUUGGAUAAAGACACUGACUUGUGCUUUUUUGGACAGUGGAGGCACAAAAUGUGAAAUUCUUCAAUUAUUAAAGCCAAUGUGUGAAGUGAAAACUGACUUUUGUCAGACUGUACUUCCAUACUUGAUUCAUGAUAUUUUACUCCAAGAUACAAAUGAAUCAUGGAGAAAUCUGCUUUCUACACAUGUUCAGGGAUUUUUCACCAGCUGUCUUCGACACUUCUCGCAAACGAGCCGAUCCACAACCCCUGCAAACUUGGAUUCAGAGUCAGAGCACUUUUUCCGAUGCUGUUUGGAUAAAAAAUCACAAAGAACAAUGCUUGCUGUUGUGGACUACAUGAGAAGACAAAAGAGACCUUCUUCAGGAACAAUUUUUAAUGAUGCUUUCUGGCUGGAUUUAAAUUAUCUAGAAGUUGCCAAGGUAGCUCAGUCUUGUGCUGCUCACUUUACAGCUUUACUCUAUGCAGAAAUCUAUGCAGAUAAGAAAAGCAUGGAUGAUCAAGAGAAAAGAAGUCUUGCAUUUGAAGAAGGAAGCCAGAGUACAACUAUUUCUAGCUUGAGUGAAAAAAGUAGAGAAGAAACUGGAAUAAGUUUACAGGAUCUUCUCUUAGAAAUCUACAGAAGUAUAGGGGAGCCAGAUAGUUUGUAUGGCUGUGGUGGAGGGAAGAUGUUACAACCCAUUACUAGACUACGAACAUAUGAACACGAAGCAAUGUGGGGCAAAGCCCUAGUAACAUAUGACCUCGAAACAGCAAUCCCCUCAUCAACACGCCAGGCAGGAAUCAUUCAGGCCUUGCAGAAUUUGGGACUCUGCCAUAUUCUUGCCGUCUAUUUAAAAGGAUUGGAUUAUGAAAAUAAAGACUGGUGUCCUGAACUAGAAGAACUUCAUUACCAAGCAGCAUGGAGGAAUAUGCAGUGGGACCAUUGCACUUCCGUCAGCAAAGAAGUAGAAGGAACCAGUUACCAUGAAUCAUUGUACAAUGCUCUACAAUCUCUAAGAGACAGAGAAUUCUCUACAUUUUAUGAAAAUCUCAAAUAUGCCAGAGUAAAAGAAGUGGAAGAGUUGUGUAAGCGCAGCCUUGAGUCUGUGUAUUCGCUCUAUCCCACACUUAGCAGGUUGCAGGCCAUUGGAGAGCUGGAAAGCAUUGGGGAGCUUUUCUCAAGAUCAGUCACACAUAGACAACUCUCUGAAGUAUAUAUUAAGUGGCAGAAACACUCCCAGCUUCUCAAGGACAGUGAUUUUAGUUUUCAGGAGCCUAUCAUGGCUCUACGCACAGUCAUUUUGGAGAUCCUGAUGGAAAAGGAAAUGGACAACUCACAAAGAGAAUGUAUUAAGGACAUUCUCACCAAACACCUUGUAGAACUCUCUAUACUGGCCAGAACUUUCAAGAACACUCAGCUCCCUGAAAGGGCAAUAUUUCAAAUUAAACAGUACAAUUCAGUUAGCUGUGGAGUCUCUGAGUGGCAGCUGGAAGAAGCACAAGUAUUCUGGGCAAAAAAGGAGCAGAGUCUUGCCCUGAGUAUUCUCAAGCAAAUGAUCAAGAAGUUGGAUGCCAGCUGUGCAGCGAACAAUCCCAGCCUAAAACUUACAUACACAGAAUGUCUGAGGGUUUGUGGCAACUGGUUAGCAGAAACGUGCUUAGAAAAUCCUGCGGUCAUCAUGCAGACCUAUCUAGAAAAGGCAGUAGAAGUUGCUGGAAAUUAUGAUGGAGAAAGUAGUGAUGAGCUAAGAAAUGGAAAAAUGAAGGCAUUUCUCUCAUUAGCCCGGUUUUCAGAUACUCAAUACCAAAGAAUUGAAAACUACAUGAAAUCAUCGGAAUUUGAAAACAAGCAAGCUCUCCUGAAAAGAGCCAAAGAGGAAGUAGGUCUCCUUAGGGAACAUAAAAUUCAGACAAACAGAUACACAGUAAAGGUUCAGCGAGAGCUGGAGUUGGAUGAAUUAGCCCUGCGUGCACUGAAAGAGGAUCGUAAACGCUUCUUAUGUAAAGCAGUUGAAAAUUAUAUCAACUGCUUAUUAAGUGGAGAAGAACAUGAUAUGUGGGUAUUCCGACUUUGUUCCCUGUGGCUUGAAAAUUCUGGAGUUUCUGAAGUCAAUGGCAUGAUGAAGAGAGACGGAAUGAAGAUUCCAACAUAUAAAUUUUUGCCUCUUAUGUACCAAUUGGCUGCUAGAAUGGGGACCAAGAUGAUGGGAGGCCUAGGAUUUCAUGAAGUCCUCAAUAAUCUAAUCUCUAGAAUUUCAAUGGAUCACCCCCAUCAUACUUUGUUUAUUAUACUGGCCUUAGCAAAUGCAAACAGAGAUGAAUUUCUGACUAAACCAGAGGUAGCCAGAAGAAGCAGAAUAACUAAAAAUGUGCCUAAACAAAGCUCUCAGCUUGAUGAGGAUCGAACAGAGGCUGCAAAUAGAAUAAUAUGUACUAUCAGAAGUAGGAGACCUCAGAUGGUCAGAAGUGUUGAGGCACUUUGUGAUGCUUAUAUUAUAUUAGCAAACUUAGAUGCCACUCAGUGGAAGACUCAGAGAAAAGGCAUAAAUAUUCCAGCAGAC